rnacentral:tRNA from 1 species
ACCUGGCUGGCUCAGUUGGUAGAGCAUGGGACUCUUAAACUCAGAGUCAUGAGUUCAAGUCCCAUAUUGGGCA